CGGCGGCCCUAGUGGUGAUCGUUAUUAUUGGGCCUAAAGCGUCCGUAGCCGGUUCGGUAAAUCUCUGGGUAAAUCGUUGGGCUUAACUCAACGAAUUCUGGGGAGACUGCCGAACUUGGGACCGGGAGAGGUCGGAGGUACUCCAGGGGUAGGGGUGAAAUCCUGUAAUCCUUGGGGGACCACCGGUGGCGAAAGCGUCCGACCAGAACGGGUCCGACGGUAAGGGACGAAGCCCUGGGGCGCGAACCGGAUUAGAUACCCGAGUAGUCC
rnacentral:rRNA from 1 species